AUACGGAGGGUCCAAGCGUUAUCCGGAAUCAUUGGGUUUAAAGGGUCCGCAGGCGGUCAAUUAAGUCAGAGGUGAAAGCCCAUCGCUCAACGAUGGAACUGCCUUUGAUACUGGUUGACUUGAGUUAUACGGAAGUAGAUAGAAUAAGUAGUGUAGCGGUGAAAUGCAUAGAUAUUACUUAGAAUACCGAUUGCGAAGGCAGUCUACUACGUAUAUACUGACGCUGAGGGACGAAAGCGUGGGGAGCGAACAGGAUUAGAAACCCUAGUAGUCU
rnacentral:rRNA from 1 species